UCAGGUGGAACGAAAAAGUAGCAAUACUCUGACGGUACCACCAGAGGAAGCACCGGCUAACUCCGUGCCAGCAGCCGCGGUAAUACGGAGGGUGCAAGCGUUGCUCGGAAUUAUUGGGCGUAAAGCGCGCGCAGGCGGUCGAUUAAGUCUGAUGUGAAACGCCCGGGCUCAACCCGGGACCUGCAUUGGAUACUGGCAGACUUGAGUACGGGAGAGGGAAGUGGAAUUCCGAGUGUAGAGGUGAAAUCCGUAGAUAUUCGGAGGAACACCGGUGGCGAAGGCGGCUUCCUGGACCGAUACUGACGCUCAGGUGCGAAAGCGUGGGGAGCAAACAGGAUUAGAUACCCUGGUAGUCCACGCCGUAAACGAUGGGUACUAGAUGUUGCGGGUAUUGACCCCCGCAGUGCCGAAGCUAACGCAUUAAGUACCCCGCCUGGGGAAUACGGCCGCAAGGUUAAAACUCAAAGGAAUUGACGGA
rnacentral:rRNA from 1 species